AGCGAACGCUGGCGGCAUGCUUAACACAUGCAAGUCGCACGGGCAGUAGCAAUACUGUCAGUGGCGGACGGGUGAGUAACACGUAGGAAUCUAGUCCUGGGGUGGGGGGACAACAGCGGGAAACUGCUGCUAAUACCGCAUGAUACCUGAGGGUCAAAGGCGCAAGUCGCCUUAGGAGGAGCCUGCGUCUGAUUAGCUUGUUGGUGGGGUAAAGGCCUACCAAGGCGACGAUCAGUAGCUGGUCUGAGAGGAUGAUCAGCCACAUUGGGACUGAGACACGGCCCAAACUCCUACGGGAGGCAGCAGUGGGGAAUAUUGGACAAUGGGCGAAAGCCUGAUCCAGCAAUGCCGCGUGUGUGAAGAAGGUCUUCGGAUUGUAAAGCACUUUUGGCAGGGACGAUGAUGACGGUACCUGCAGAAUAAGCCCCGGCUAACUUCGUG
rnacentral:rRNA from 1 species